rnacentral:lncRNA from 1 species
ACUGGGUUCAAUCACAGCCGUCUGAUUCUAUUAGACGAUGAUAAAUCAGCGCAUCUGAGCCUUCCUUUUUUUUAUUUCUUUCGGCAGAAGCAUUCGACGCAGCUUCUAUCAUUCCCAAAUCCUCCAUGGGUGAAGACCUAUAUUGCUCAUAGCCCAGGGCAAUAAGGAAUCAAACAAUGCUUAGGGACAAGGACUCAGCAUAAUUGAAUAUAAUAAUUUAAAAUAAUAAUUUGAUAUGAAUAAAAUAAAAUUAAUAAUUCAAUAUAAUCAAUAGUUCGAUCAUUGGUUUAGAAGGAAUCUUAUUCAUUGAUAAUAUAUUGUCUAGCAUGAGCGCUGAUGGCUUAAGAGAUAGUAACUCUUUCUUCUUGAUAGGGUAACUUUUUAUUUUAUGAUCCAACUUUUCGCAAGCAAAACAUGCUCUAGUUAUCCAAAAACAUUGACUUAUUUCUCAAAUUUUAUUAACGCACAUCUUGCACAUGAUUGAGUCCUCGGUGACUUUAUAUUCAUAAUUUGUAAUCGUCAAAUUUCUCUAGAUGAGAUCCAAGAACUCUAAUUUUUUCUGCUCUCUAAUGAAAUCUGAAAAAUAUUUAUUAUUGAACUUUUCUAUAUAUUAUGCUAUCUUGAGCAGGAUAGCACAACUGCACCAAUAAACGAGUGGCUAACGAGUAUGGCCAACUUUUCUCGAGAUCGCGGGUUCGAUUCGGGUGUCGUGCUUAGUUUGAAUAGAAGCAGUGAGGAUAUAAUGCGCUUGAUGUGAAGGACUGGGUUCAAUCACAACCGUCUGAUUCCAUUAGACGAUGAUAAAUCAGCGCAUCUGAGCUUCCUUUUUUAUAUAUUUCUUUCGGCAGAAGCAUUCGACGCAGCUUCUAUCAUUCCCAGAUCCUCUAUGAGUGAAAACCUGUAUUGCUCGUAGCCCAAGGCAAUAAGGAAUCGAACAAUGCUUAAAGACUCAAAGGUAAGGACUUAGCAUUAUUGAAUAUAAUAAUUUAAAAUCAUAAUUUGAUAUGAUUAAAAUAAAAAUAAUAAUUUAAUAUAAUCAAUAUAGAUAUAAUGAACAAAUAGAUCAUCCAAUUUCUUUAAAAUUAUAUGCAUCGGGAGGUGAGAUAAGAUAUCUCUAUGAUCAUCAUAUGGAUGUCUUGCUUAUAAGAAGGUGAGAGCAUAUGAUUUAGAAAAGAUAAUUAAUAAAGUUUUUCUUAUGCAAUGACCUAUCGAUAGUAGUGUUGUAUAUCCUUUUGUUCGAGACCUAUAUCUUUCUGUCAUUCAUAUAUUCUUUAUUGGAGGAAACCUAUAUCACUCACAACCUAGGGCAACCCAGGAAUCGAAUAAUGCAUAUAGACCUAAGGGCAACCAGUACAUAUGAGCUUCUUUUUAUUAUUUCUUUCUGCAGAAGCAUACUAUACAACAGUACUUGAAUGUAGCUCACGCUGCACCGCCAUGACCAGACGAUGGAGAAACCCUCUUGGCCUUAACCAACAACUAGGAGAAUAUGAUCUCGAACCCCAAAUCCACCGUCUCCGUUGGAUUUAUGAUCAAUUGGUGUCCCAUGCUCAAGACCACCACCGUCACCUCUUGAUGUGCUGUCGAUGAUAGUCACGAUUGCACUAUCGUUCAUCGCCCAUAGAAGCACUGUUGCAUGCAGCAAUGUCGCCUAAGUAAUGUGCUAUGUAAUCAUCGCUGCACUGUUUGGCCUUAUGAGACAACCGACCUAGACUAGUAGCCUUAUGGUUAUCGUAUGUGUUGAUGUGUGAUGCUUGUACUAUUGCUCAUAUUAGUGCCACCAGCAAUGACCUAACGAUGGUAGUACCGCACACCCUUUCAUUUGAGACCCUUAUCCUUUUGUCAUUCACAGAUUCUCUAUGAGAGGAAACAUGCAUCGCUCACAACCCUGAACAACCCAGGGAUCGAACAAUGCAUAUAGACCUAAAGGCAAGGACUUAGUAUCAUCGGAUAUAAUAAUUCAAAUCAAUCUAAAUGGAAAUAAUAAUUCGAUAUAGAUCUAAUGAACGAAUAAAUCAUCUAAUUUCUUUAACAAUCUAUGAUAACUUAGAAGUUAAUAAUAUGACUUUGAUGCCAAUUAUAAGUAAUAAAUUUUUUUUUUGUGAAAAUAUAAAACUAUGAUUGACAUCAAGUAUCAUAAAUCAAAAAUAGAAUGUAUGCACCUUUUAAACAUAAUAAUCAACGGGAUAUCUCAAAUGUCACAAAAUAAUACAAUGUAAUAUGCAUAUAUCUUGAAUCUACAUACGAAAGAAGCUAGACUCGUAUCCCUUCCUAUUUUUUAGAAAACUAUAAUUGAUAGAAUAGAGAUCUAUGUGAGAGCAUAUGAUCCAAAAAUGAUAAUUAAGAUAGAUUUUUUUUAUAAGGUCAUCUCCUACAAUCCUACUAUAAUUAGAUUUUAUUUCUUAUUGAUAGAUAAUUAUAUUUUGAAUUUAAUCACAUCUAUAAUAUAUUUUACUUAAUUAAAUAUGAUCAUAUAAUCUAAUAUAUAAUGAAUAAUAUUUAUGUGCUCCGUGCGUAGAUGAGUAUAUAUAUAUAUAUAUAUAUAUAUAUAUAUAUAUAUAUAUAUAUAUAUAUAAAAUAAAUAAGUCCUGUUAUAUAUUAUUAUACUUGUUGAUGUAAUGGUUGUCAACGGAAGUCUAGAUUUAAUAAAUUUCCUUGAGUUCGAUAUCGCAACCGAACGGUGAGACUAGUGGGUAAGUUCUACGGCCUUUCUUCCGAAUGGUUGAGGGUUCGAUUCGUAUCGGGUGCUAAUUUAAAACGAAGCGAUGAGGAAUAUAUGCGCUUGAUGUGAUGGACUGGGUUCAGUCACAACCUUCUGAUUCCAUAAGAAGACAAUUCAGCGCAUCUGAGCUUCUUUUUGUUUGUUUCAGUAUAUAUACAGUAAUACAUAUCUUUGAGCUUCUUUUUAUUUGUUUCCGUAUAUAUACAGUAAUAUGUAUUUUAUAGAUUGUAUUUCCUCGAGUUUGAAUACAAUGCCAUUGGUAGCUACCGAAUAUAGCAAGCGUUAUUAGAGAUUGUGGGUUCUCGAGAUAACACAAUUGCACCAAUAAAUGUACGGCUAACGCGUAUCGUCAACGUUUCUCGAGAUCGCGGGUUCGAUUCGGGUGGCGUGCAUAGUUUGAAUAGAAGCAGUGAGGAUAAAAUGCGCUUGAUGUGAAGGACUGGGUUCAAUCACAACCGUCUGAUUCCAUUAGACGAUGAUAAAUCAGCGCAUCUGAGCU